rnacentral:SRP_RNA from 1 species
GCCAGGCAUGGUGGCUCAUGCCUUUAAUCCUAGCACUUUGGGAGGCCGAGGCAGGAGGAUCCCUUGAGCCCAGGAGUUUGAGACCAGCCUGGGCAACAUAGGGAGAUCCUGUCUUUU